GACGAACGCUGGCGGCGUGCUUAACACAUGCAAGUCGAACGGAAAGGCCCUGCUUUUGUGGGGUGCUCGAGUGGCGAACGGGUGAGUAACACGUGAGUAACCUGCCCUUGACUUUGGGAUAACUUCAGGAAACUGGGGCUAAUACCGGAUAGGAGCUCCUGCUGCAUGGGGGGGGUUGGAAAGUUUCGGCGGUUGGGGAUGGACUCGCGGCUUAUCAGCUUGUUGGUGGGGUAGUGGCUUACCAAGGCUUUGACGGGUAGCCGGCCUGAGAGGGUGACCGGCCACAUUGGGCCUGGGAUUCGGCCCAGACUCCUACGGGGGGCAGCAGUGGGGACUAUUGCACAAUGGACGGAAGCCUGGUGCAGCAACGCCGCGUGCGGGAUGACGGCCUUCGGGUUGUAAACCACUUUCGCCUGUGACGAAGCGUGAGUGACGGUAAUGGGUAAAGAAGCACCGGCUAACUACGUG
rnacentral:rRNA from 1 species